UUUUAUUUGAGAGUUUGAUCCUGGCUCAGGAUGAACGCUGGCGGCGUGCCUAACACAUGCAAGUUGAGCGAUUUACUUCGGUAAAGAGCGGCGGACGGGUGAGUAACGCGUGGGUAACCUACCCUGUACACACGGAUAACAUACCGAAAGGUAUGCUAAUACGGGAUAAUAUAUUUGAGAGGCAUCUCUUGAAUAUCAAAGGUGAGCCAGUACAGGAUGGACCCGCGUCUGAUUAGCUAGUUGGUAAGGUAACGGCUUACCAAGGCGACGAUCAGUAGCCGACCUGAGAGGGUGAUCGGCCACAUUGGAACUGAGACAC
rnacentral:rRNA from 1 species